rnacentral:rRNA from 1 species
AUUGAACGCUGGCGGCAGGCUUAACACAUGCAAGUCGAACGAGAUCUUCGGAUCUAGUGGCAGACGGGUGAGGAACACGUGGGAACAUCCCUUUCAGUUCGGAAUAACGUUGGGAAACUAACGCUAAUACCGGAUACGUCCUUCGGGAGAAAGAUUUAUCGCUGAAAGAUUGGCCUGCGUCUGAUUAGCUAGUUGGUGAGGUAACGGCUCACCAAGGCUACGAUCAGUAGCUGAUCUGAGAGGAUGAUCAGCCACAUUGGGACUGAGACACGGCCCAAACUCCUACGGGAGGCAGCAGUGGGGAAUAUUGGACAAUGGGCGCAAGCCUGAUCUAGCCAUGCCGCGUGAGUGAUGACGGCCUUCGGGUUGUAAAGCUCUUUUGUCCGGGAAGAUAAUGACUGUACCGGAAGAAUAUGCCCCGGCAAACUUCGUGCCAGCCGCCGCGGUAA